UACGUAGGAGGCAAGCGUUGUCCGGAUUUACUGGGCGUAAAGGGCGCGUAGGCGGCGUGACAAGUCACUUGUGAAUCUCCGGGCUUAACUCGGAACGGUCAAGUGAUACUGUCGUGCUAGAGUACAGAAGGGGCAACUGGAAUUCUCGGUGUAGCGGUGAAAUGCGUAGAUAUCGAGAGGAACACCUGCGGCGAAGGCGGGUUGCUGGGCUGAUACUGACGCUGAGGCGCGAAAGCUAGGGGAGCGAACGGG
rnacentral:rRNA from 1 species